rnacentral:rRNA from 1 species
UUGGUAAGAUAACAGCCUACCAAGGCGAUGAUGCGUAGCUGUACUGAGAGGUAGAACAGCCACAUUGGGACUGAGAUACGGCCCAAACUCCUACGGGAGGCAGCAGUAGGGAAUUUUCGGCAAUGGGGGGAACCCUGACCGAGCAAUGCCGCGUGAUUGAAGAAGAUCUUCGGAUCGUAAAGAUCUGUUAUUAGGGAAGAAUGGAAUUGAUAGGAAAUGAUCAAUUUAUGACGGUGCCUAAUGAGGAAGCCCCGGCUAACUAUGUGCCAGCAGCCGCGGUAAUACAUAGGGGGCGAGCGUUAUCCGGAAUUAUUGGGCGUAAAGGGUACGUAGGCGGGCUUGCAAGUCUGAUUUGAAAGCACAUGGCUUAACCAUGUGAGGUAAUUAGAAACUACGAGUCUAGAGAGUGGUAGAGGUAAAUGGAAUUCCAAGUGGAGCGGUGAAAUGCGUAGAGAUUUGGAGGAACACCAGUGGCGAAGGCGGUUUACUGGGCCACAUCUGACGCUGAUGUACGAAAGCGUGGGGAGCAAACAGGAUUAGAUACCCUGGUAGUCCACGCCGUAAACGAUGAGUGCUAAGUAUCGGUAGAAUCGGU